GCCUCGGGGGUGUAGUGGUGUAGCACGCGUCACCGGUAUAGAUGAAACGCGGGUUCGAUUCCCGCCUGAGGCC